rnacentral:rRNA from 1 species
AGAAUCCCGUGAACCAUCGAGUCUUUGAACGCAAGUUGCGCCCGAGGCCCACCGGCCGAGGGCACGCCCGCCUGGGCGUCAAGCAUCGCGUUGCUCCUUGCCAAGGCCAUCCCACGGAUGGAUGCGUAUGGGCGGGGACGUGCAUAGUGGCCC